rnacentral:rRNA from 1 species
AGCGAACGCUGGCGGCGUGCCUAACACAUGCAAGUCGAACGUGAAAUGGGGCAACCCAAAGUAAAGUGGCGUACGGGUGAGUAACGCGUAGGUAAUCUACCCCAGAAUCUGGAAUAACCUGCCGAAAGGCGGGCUAAUACUGGAUAGAGCGACGGAAUCCGCAAUUGGGUUUUUCGGGAAAGGGAGGCAGCAAUGCCCCUCGUUUUGGGAUGAGCCUGCGUCUCAUUAGCUAGUUGGUGGGGUAACGGCCCACCAAGGCAUUGAUGAGUAGCUGGUC